ACGCUUACGGGAUCCCUUUUAUCUGCAAUUUCCAACUUGUUAACUCAGUUAGUUUGCUGGCGAAGUUCACUGAAAGUAAGACUAUUAGCAAUACAUCUGCAGUUAUAACCUAGAUAGCACGACAGCUAGCUAUUGACAUUAGUUGUCAAUCAUCACUUUUAAAAAUGAUAUGUGAAAUAAUGUUAAGCAUAAGUAGAGCACCACGUGUUAGCGAAGUUUGCUUUUGCGUGUUAGCGAAGCACCUUUUACAACCCAGAAACAUUAGCUCGAAGGAAAAACUAACGGCUGUCUGAAUUAACUGCUGCUAGGGGGGACUGCAGAAAAAAAAAUGGAACUCCUGGAACUGCAGACCAGACAUUGAUGGGAAAAUUACAGUCUGUAGCUAACAACUGGAACUGCAGACCAGACAUUGAUGGGAAAAAUACAGUCUGUAGCUAACAACUGGAACUGCAGACCAGACAUUGAUGGGAAAAUUACAGUCUGUAGCUAACAACUAUAUGCAGACCAGAAAUGGAAUCCUCUACACCAGAACAUGGCUUCCUGUAACACCUGGAACUGCAGACCAGACAUUGAUGGGAAAAAUACAGUCUGUAGCUAACAACUGGAACUGCAGACCAGACAUUGAUGGGAAAAUUACAGUCUGUAGCUAACAACUGGAACUGCAGACCAGACAUUGAUGGGAAAAAUACAGCCUGUAGCUAACAACUGGAACUGCAGACCAGACAUUGAUGGGAAAAUUACAGUCUGUAGCUAACAACUGGAACUGCAGACCAGACAUUGAUGGGAAAAUUAGUCUGUAGCUAACAACUGGAACUGCAGACCAGACAUUGAUGGGAAAAUUACAGUCUGUAGCUAACUAUAUGCAGACCAGAAAUGGAGUCCUCUACACCAGAACACAGCUUCCUGUAACAUCUGGAACUGCAGACCAGACAUUGGUGGGAAAAAUACAGUCUGUAGCUAACAACUGGAACUGCAGACCAGACAUUGAUGGGAAAAAUACAAACUGUAGCCAACAACUAAGUAUCUUCUAGGGCACUGCUAGUCGUGACUCCAUCCUUCCAAAUUGUCUCGUUGACUAGCGACACCUGGGCUUCAAGGUUGGGGGACAGCAGACUAGAAAAGGACACAGUGUUACACUUGUAAGAAUGCAUUUUGUGAAGUUGUUGCAAGAUUGUAUUUAGGAUGACACUAUCCCGAACAUGAUUGACAACACUGUCAGACCUGACUUCUGAAAUGCAAUUUGCAACCAAAUGUGUUAGCAGGAUUAUGGGGAGAAUAGCUUUAUAAAGGUUGUAACAAGGUGUUUUCUUUCAUUUAUUUAAUUCCUAGUGACUGUCUUUGCAAGGGUCAUUGUGAUCUUUAUCAUACAAUGGAGCUGGCCAUCACUAGCAAUGUGGAGACUGCAUUAUUGCCUUUUCAUUUACAAAGCUCUAAAUUGGAACUGAGCUACCCUAGGACAAAGUUCGUUAUAUUGACUGUAUUGAUUUGUGGAGUAACUGGAUGUUUGAAUUUAAUAAAGAUCAUUUAAAUGCA